ensembl:lncRNA
CUGAAAAUACUAAGCGUGUUUCCGCUGAUGUAAAAAUGCCUUAUUCCCGUGCAAAACAUGUUUUUGCCGCAAAAAGUCAAAUUUUCGUGUUAUUACUUCACAAUAUCGACUAAAAACCUCGACAUUUUAAGCCAUUUUCUCAAUUUCGAGUUAUUUUAUUAGACGUUUGAAUUAUUGAGCAGAGUUUUUGCGAUAAUAACCCGAAAUGCCAGCGCCCUGUAAGUUUAUUUAAUCAUGCGGCAAAAUACACAAAGUUACGUUGGUAUAAUUCGUAUUGAAGUGAUUUACAAGUGAUUUACAAGCUGAAUAGACCGAACAACAAACGUAAACGUUACAUUAAAAAAAAUUAGGGGAAUUAUCUUGACAAAAACGUUUCAUCUUUGACUAAACUCAAAUCAAAACGACAAGCUCACUCCUGGCCUCUGAUUGGUGAUCUGCUCCUGGUGGGAUAUGGGCGGGUCUGGUAUUAAGCGAUCGGUUGAAUAUUUGAAAUCCAAAACAACAGUCGCGUUGAGGUGCAUUGUAGCAUUUAUAGGCUUAUUUUGAAUAUAUGAACCCGACUGAAAGUCCAUAAUGAUCUGCGAGUCAAACUGAAAAAGCGCAGCAGCUGAAGAGCAUUGUAAUACCCGAGCACCGUGCAGAACAAAGAAGAGUGACUAGAAUAGACAUGUUCAGAACAAUCACGCGUAUGCUUUUUGGAAGAGAGGAGGAGACCCCCGAAGAUGUCAAGGCUGGAGACACGAUGGAGGAAGGGUGGCAUGUUGUCACUCAUCAAGAGGCAGGUUCAGCAGAAAACCAGGAUGCAAUGUUGACUGACAGUCAACCAUCCAGCUCUGUUCCUCAAGGAACAGACAUGGAAACUGACUGCAUUGCAGAUGCAGAGCCCGCAGCACAAAGCGGGAGUACCGGGACCAGUGCUCAGUCCGUGUUCAGCUCUUUUUCCAAGCCCAAAGCUAUAGCCAAGAUGACACAGGCUAAGGUUUUGGCAGAGCGGCACCAUGUGUCCCGCAACGCUAUUCAACGCCAGAACCGUGUUCGCCAAGGAGUCCAACACCACUCCUACCACCUCCAACAGCCAGGCUGUCGCAGCCUCAGCCACUGAAUCUCUUCACUACAGAUUGACACUAAAGCAACUGAAUACAGACAAAAAAACCCAAACAAAAACACUUGUAGGCUUUUCCACUUUUCUGCAAAUUAAGCUAAACAUUUAAUCUUUAUGUGCCAACACUAGUUAACUGUUACCAGGCAGCUACAUUAGCCUUUGAACUUGUGCUGUAUCUGAAUUUGAAAUAAAGAAUUUACCUCAUAAAAUGAGAUGCUAGGUUUUUUUUUUGUGUAUGUGCACAGGUAAAUUUAUACAGUGUUAUACUACGCAACAUGUAUUCUUGAACCAAGUGAUAUGUUUUGUUUGACACCAUGCACUUCCCUGUAUGUUGCUGGUUCAGAACCUUUUUUUGAUACAUCAAUAAAAGUAUGAUUUUGCAGCG